CUAAAGAAGAGCUUCAUCCCAGAUCAAGCACAAGGAUGGACAAUAGGAACAAGAGAAGAGUCACAGAGCCAAAAAAUGAUCAAGGAUGCUCAAGAAUGUAACUGCCCUCCCUCUUCCUCUGGUGUGGAUAACAUUAUCUGCACCGUUUUCUACUGACAGAUUUCUCUCCGGAAUGACCACAGCAGGACUCUUUCGUGUUCUCUUGAUGCUCUACUUUCUGCCACUGGCACUUGCAAAGUAAUGAAAUUAGAAGAAGCAGAAGCAACUGUGCAGGAGGAAGCUGGUUCUUUGACUCCCACAUGCCAGUGGAAACUCUGAUUAUCCUACCAAGCUAUGGGGGUGUCUAGAUCCUGACUAAGGUAAGAGGUUCAGUAGUCUGUCAGUAUCCGGAACCUGGAAGCAGACCUUGGCUGCUUUUUCAUUCAGCAUCAGAAGAGAAUGCCAUGCACUCCCUAGUCAAUUCCAAAUGAAAAUAAUGAGCCCAGGUCUUUAAAUGGAUCUUUGCUUGUGCUCUUUCUUCAUAGCCCACAGGGAUGGGAUGG
rnacentral:sRNA from 1 species